CGGUGAAGAAUGUGAAAUACCUGGGUUUUAUUUACACUCCCACACUUGACUUUCAUUCAUACAUUGAACCGUCUUCUUAUAGGGCUCUCAAAGUACUAGGAUUUUUCAAGCGAAUAGCCUCUGAAUUUAAACUUGAGUAUUCUUUAAAAUCUCUUUAUUGUUCCUUAGUUCGAUCUAUUAUUGAAUAUGGAUCCGUGUUAUGGAAUCCUCACACAUCGUCAAGCUCCUUACAAUUAGAACGCGUCGAGAGACACUUCUUAUUAUUCGCUUCCUAUGUUC